rnacentral:tRNA from 1 species
GCUGGGGUAGUUUAGUGGUAAAACACAUGCCUAGCAUGUGUGAGGUCCUGGGUUCAAUCUCCAGUUCUACA